CAACUACUCACUCUGUCGCAAAUUUCUUGACUUAGAUUUGUCUAGAUACAGAUGUAUCUAAUACUAAAAUGUGAUUUGAUACAUCCGUAUCUAGACAAAUCUGGGACAAGAAUUUUGGGACGGGGGGAGUACUUU
rfam:Triticum aestivum genome assembly, contig: Triticum_aestivum_CS42_TGACv1_scaffold_330215_4BS